GAUGAACGCUGGCGGCGUGCCUAAUACAUGCAAGUCGAACGAAACUUCUUUAUCACCGAGUGCUUGCACUCACCGAUAAAGAGUUGAGUGGCGAACGGGUGAGUAACACGUGGGCAGCCUGCCCAAAAGAGGGGGAUAACACUAGGAAACAGGUGCUAAUACCGCAUAACCAUAGUUACCGCAUGGUAACUAUGUAAAAGGUGGCUAUACUACCGCUUUUGGAUGGGCUCGCGGCGCAUUAGCUAGUUGGUAGGGUAAAGGCUUACCAAGGCAAUGAUGCGUAGCCGAAUUGAGAGGUUGAUCGGCCACAUUGGGACUGAGACACGGCCCAAACUCCUACGGGAGGCAGCAGUAGGGAAUCUUCCACAAUGGGCGAAAGCCUGAUGGAGCAACGCCGCGUGGGUGAAGAAGGUCUUCGGAUCGUAAAACCCUGUUGUUAGAGAAGAAAGUGUGUGAGAGUAACUGUUCACGUUUCGACGGUAUCUAACCAGAAAGCCACGGCUAACUACGUG
rnacentral:rRNA from 1 species